UACGUAGGGGGCUAGCGUUGUCCGGAAUCAUUGGGCGUAAAGCGCGCGUAGGCGGCCAGAUAAGUCCGGUGUGAAAGUCACAGGCUCAACCUGUGAAUGCCGCUGGAAACUGUCUGGCUAGAGUCCGGAAGGGGCGAGUGGAAUUCCUGGUGUAGCGGUGAAAUGCGUAGAUAUCUGGAGGAACACCGGUGGCGAAGGCGGCAUCCUGGACCGAGAUUGACGCUGAUGCGCGAAAGCCAGGGGAGCAAACGGG
rnacentral:rRNA from 1 species